rfam:Pan troglodytes isolate Yerkes chimp pedigree #C0471 (Clint) chromosome 7, whole genome shotgun sequence.
GCUGGGUGUGGCGGCGUACGCCUGUAGUCCCAGCUACGCGGGAGGCUGAGGCAGGAGAAUCACUUGAACCCGGGGAGUGGAGGUUGCAAUGAGCCGAGAUCAGGCCAUUGCACUCAUUGCACUCCAGCCUGGGUAACAGAGUGAGACUUUGUCUCAA